rnacentral:rRNA from 1 species
UACGAAGGGGGCUAGCGUUGUUCGGAUUUACUGGGCGUAAAGCGCACGUAGGCGGAUUCUUAAGUCAGAGGUGAAAUCCCGAGGCUCAACCUUGGAACUGCCUUUGAUACUGGGGAUCUUGAGUCCGGAAGAGGUGAGUGGAACUGCGAGUGUAGAGGUGAAAUUCGUAGAUAUUCGCAAGAACACCAGUGGCGAAGGCGGCUCACUGGUCCGGUACUGACGCUGAGGUGCGAAAGCGUGGGGAGCAAACAGG